GCCGGGAGUGGUGGCGUACUCCUUUAAUCCAGUUACUUGGAGGCUAGGUGUUGAGGAUGGUUUGAGGCGGGACUUGAUGCGCACUGUGUCCUACGUUGAAUGUGCGUCCGCACUGCGUUCUAUGUUGAACGUGCUUCUUCAGCAUUGCGCUCGCAGUCGACAUGGGCGGACCCGACCAAUAGAAAUCACACCAACAUCUUU
rnacentral:SRP_RNA from 1 species